rnacentral:tRNA from 1 species
UUGGAUCAGUUGGCAGAUCGUCAGAUUUGAAAUCCGAGGGUCUUCGGUUCAAUUCCCG